rnacentral:lncRNA from 1 species
UAAUAGCAUUCUCUACUUUCUCUUGUGAUAAUGCUUCUUCCCAUUUAAAGUUUUUGUAUUGAUUUCAUCUUCUCUUCUUCUUGUUUUAUCACAUUUAUAUUGGCUAUUGAUACUGAAGUUUGCAAUCGUUGUGCAUCAAACUUUCCCAUACAGAUGGAAUUUGUAGAACUGAAUCACUAUUUUAACAAUGUAUGUUUGCUGAAGCAGUUAGAUGUUGCUAUUCUCGAGGUUGGUUUGGGAGUGAAAUUUGAUGCAACUAACAUGGUGCGUACUAAUGCUAUUGUGUUCAGUUAUAGAUUUUUCAGCAAAAUGUAUUACUUUAUGAUCUAAUUUGGAUGUGCCUUAAAAUUCUAACAAUCGUUUAUGCUAUUAUACAUGAUUGAUAUUUCAUUGGUUGAAAUGAAUCAACUAUAGGUUGGACAAGGGCUCAUUAUAUUAUCUUAUCAAUGUUCCCGCAUCAAAUUUGGAAUUUCAUGAUCUAAGCCAAUACUAAACAUUUUUCAGUGAUAUCUACAGAAUGAGCAACAACCUGGCUCUUGAAGUACAAGCGGGCUAGUAACUAAGUGGAUUUGAUCU